rnacentral:lncRNA from 1 species
AAGCUGAAUACAAGCCUAGAGAACAUGCCAGUGUGCUCUGUCUCUCUAAGGCCUCUGCUCCAGGUUCCUGCCCUGACAUCUCUCCACAGUAGACUGUGAUGUAGAAAUGUGACAUCUACCUGCCAGGAAGCAUUUCCCAGCCGAAGGUCAGGCUCCAGUCGAAGUUGCCCCGGCUGUGGGCUUUGCCUCUCUGUACUGGUCUGGAGAAUUGGAAGGUAUUAAGGUCGAUGGUGACGAUGUCUGGGCUCACCACCGCUGUCUUGUCUUCAGCAAUUCGAGCCAGGAGGGGCUCCAGCCAGCCGUGAAAACACUCACCUGCAGACCCAGGCAAGAAGGUGAAGGGCCAGCUAAUCUGAGUACCAAGCCCCUACUAAAACACAAGGACAGGAUGGCCCCAGCCCCUCCUGGCACCGGGUGGGCGUGUCCUACUCACAGUGGGCGUCCAGGAACGUGAGCACCUCUGCCUGCGCCACGCUGGCCCCCAGCAGCCUGGCUGUGAUGAGCCCCUUCCGCUCCCGCUGCCGAACCACGCGCACGAUCUGCAGCUGCUGAACGUACUGCUCCAGCCUCUCCUUCAGGUGCUCUGGAAGGGACACGGCCACUGUGACCAGCACCUCACUAAUCCCUUGUGGGUAUUACCCCCAAGUACUCCCCAAAAACUGCCCACAGAAGGUGAGGGCAGAGAUGGAAAGACAGGCAGGUGGGAAACCCUGUCUGUGGCCAGGC